CCAGACUGCUAUUGGGAUUCGACUAAGCCAUGUGAGUUUUCCGCGAGGAAGCGAACUGCUGAGUAACACGUGGGUAAUCUGCCUUAAGGUGGGGUAUAACCUCGAGAAAUUGAGGAUAAUCCCCCAUAGACUUUGGAUACUGGAAUGUUCCAAAGUCAAAAGCUUCGGCGCCUUAAGAUGAGCCCGCGACUGAUCAGGCUGUUGGUGGGGUAAUGGCCCACCAAACCAUUGACCAGUAGGGGCAGUGAAAGCUGGAGCCCCCAGUUGGGUACUGAGACACGGACUCAGGCCCUACGGGGCGCAGCAGGCGCGAAACCUCCGCAAUGCACGCAAGUGUGACGGGGGAGUCCCAAGUGCUCUUGGAUUUUUCCAAGAGCUUUUUCCAAGUGUAAAUAGCUUGGCGAAUAAGAGCUGGGUAAGACGGGUGCCAGCAGCAGCGGUAAUACCCGCGGCUCGAGUUGUCUGGGUUUUUAUUGGGUCUAAAGCGUCCGUAGCCGGACUAAUAAGUUUCUUGUGAAAUCUAACAGCUUAACUGUUAGGCGUGCAGGGGAUACUAUUAGUCUUGAGACCGGGAUGGGCCAAAGGUACUCUUGGGGUAGGGGUGAAAUCCAAUAAUCCUGAGGGGACCACCUGUGGCGAAGGCGUUUGGCUAAAACGGGUCUGACGGUGAGGGACGAAAGCCAGGGGAGCGAACGGGAUUAGAUAUCCCCGGUAGUCUUGGCCGUAAAUGAUGCGGACUAGGUGUUACGUACCCUUUUUGGGUAUGUGGUGCCGUAGGGAAGCCGAUAAGUCCGCCACCUGGGAAGUACGAUCGCAAGGUUGAAACUUAAAGGAAUUGACGGGGGAGCACAACAAGGGGUGGAGCCUGCGGUUUAAUUGGAUUCAACGCCGGAAAUCUCACUGGGAGCGACAGUAGAAUGAAGGCCAGGUUGAUGGUCUUGCUAGACUUACUGAGAGGUGGUGCAUGGCCGCCGUCAGUUCGUGCCUUGAGGUGUUCGGUUAAGUCCGACAACGAACAAGACCCGCGCCCUUAGUUGCCAGUUAUUCCUCCGGGAAUGACGCACUCUAAGGGGACCGCUGCUGAUGAAGCAGAGGAGGGCGCGGUCAACGGUAGGUCAGUAUGCCCCGAAUCUCCCAGGCUACACGCGGGCUACAGUGGUUGAGACAAUGGGUUGCGACACCGAAAGGUGGAGCUAAUCUCCAAACUCAAUCCCAGUUCGGAUCGAGGAUUGUAACUCAUCCUCGUGAAGCCGGAAUCCCUAGUAAUCAGAGUUCACUAUACUCUGGUGAAUCUGUCCCUGCUCCUUGUACACACCGCCCGUCAAAUCACCUGAAUUGGGCAUGGAUGAGGCUUCGUCUUAUGGCGAUGUCGAACUUGAGCUCAGUAAGGGGGGUU
rnacentral:rRNA from 1 species